rnacentral:rRNA from 1 species
GAUGAACGCUGGCGGCGUGCCUAAUACAUGCAAGUCGAGCGAACAGAUGAGGAGCUUGCGCCCCUGACGUUAGCGGCGGACGGGUGAGUAACACGUGGAUAACCUACCUAUAAGACUGGGAUAACUUCGGGAAACCGGAGCCAAUACUGGAUAAUACAUUGAACCGCUUGGAUCAAUAGUGAAAGACGGUUUUCGCGUCAGUUAUAGAUGGAUCCGCGCCGGAUUAGCUAGUUGGUAAGGUAACGGCUUACCAAGGCAACGAUGCGUAGCCGACCUGAGAGGGUGAUCAGCCACACUGGAACUGAGACACGGUCCAGACUCCUACGGGAGGCAGCAGUAGGGAAUCUUCCGCAAUGGGCGAAAGCCUGACGGAGCAACGCCGCGUGAGUGAAGAAGGUCUUCGGAUCGUAAAGCUCUGUUAUUAGGGAAGAACAACUGUGGAAGUAUCUAUGCACGUCUUGACGGUACCUAAACAGAAAGCCACGGCUAACUUCGUG